AGGCUAUUUAGAGCUUCCUGCUUUUUGUGUGUAAACAAGGGCCUUGUGCUUUGCUAGGCAGACUCUCUAUCACCUGAGCCUUAUUCUCAAGUCCUUUUCAAUUUAGGUAGUUUUCAGUUAGGGUCUCAUAUUUAUGCCUGGGCUGCUCCACUUAUAUAGAUCCCAUAUAGCUGGGAUGACAGGCACACAUCACCAAGCUUGGGUUUUUUUUCUUUUAACUGCAUGAGAUGAGCAUUACUAGACAGAAAAUUCCUAACCGAUUUUCGUUUCCAUCAAGCGCAUAUCCUGCCAAUUUAUAAGGAAAGGCCUUACGAAAAAGGCAUUCAUUUACUCACUUGGAUAUCUGGUUAACUGCCAUUUCACCCUGCAUAGGAAGAACAAGUGGAAUAGCCUAGAUAUAUAAAAUCUUCCUUUAGUUUUAUUAGGAAUGGG